CUUCCGUGGUGGCUCAGAGAGCCUCCCACCCUCUGCUGCCUCUGCUCCCAGCAAGGACUGCUCUGUACACAACGACUGAAUGAACCAGUGCCAACUCUAACCCACACUCUGCUCUGUUCCCAGCCAACCGUGCAGGGAGGAUAAAGGGCAGGCCCCAAGUGCAUCCUACAAGCUUCAGCCACAGGGUCAGCUUUGAUUUGGGUGAGUCAGAAACAUAUUUAUCUCUGAAAUUCUCCUCUGUGCCUGGGAAUGAAGUGUUUCUCCUCAUCUCAGAAGAAAGAGACGUACUUUAAAUAACAGCAGUGCCAAAAAAGAAAAUAAAAGAUCAAAAUGCUAACACUACAAAUGCUGCACGGACUGGGACCCAAACAUACUGGAAUGCACUGAUUUAUUUCACAAGUGGAGGACACCCACGUACCAGGCUGUUGUUGUGUGGAGGCAAUCCAUGGCAUUCAGAACUUACAGCUCAUGUCAACCCCAGCCACUGCAUAAACAGCAUCCAGAGACAUUUCCUGUGCUGCAGAAUAGAACUGAAGUUGACCAUAAAAUGUGUGUAAUCUAAACUGCAGAAAUCCCUCCACUCUAAUGAUCUGUUCCCUACAAGAAAAAUGUAAAGUGUUUAAAAGAUUUAGCAAAAUCUGUGCAUAAAUUGAAUAAAUCAUCAUGGUAUCAAUUAUAUCUUAAAAAUGGUGUUCAGCUCUUAUAACAUCAAGGACUGGUUUUAAUUAUGGCUUCAGUGUAACUAAUGUUUUCUUGAUUUUAAUGACUGUUGUCCUAUUAUAGGAUUAACUUGUGAUGAAGCUGAAGAAGCCAGAAUAAUUUUCAGUUAAAAGAAUUGCAAAGACCUUUGACAGGUACACCAGUAAGAGCAGAUUGUUUUGAAGUACGUUGGAUUUUGGCCCAAAUUCUGUUCCAGUUUCUGACUCAGAGUCAUCCCCUGGCAGUAUGGCAAGUGAGACUUGGCCUUUUUUCCAGAAGUGCAGAAAGUAAAUAUGGCAGUGGGCUGCAAGGGCGAGGCUGUGGGA